rnacentral:lncRNA from 1 species
CCUGGAGGGACCAACAACUCUCCACUAAGGCCAAGUGAUGGAUGUCCUUAGCUAUGAACUGCAUGCCUUGUUUCACCAGAGGUUAGUUGGUAGCAUCUCCUGUAUAUUAAUCUUCUGUGGGAUGUUGCAUGUUGGGGGUGCAAAGGAUCCCUAGUAUCAUUCAGUUGCUGUGGACGUGGGAGAUCUCUACAAACCAUUGGCUACAACCUUCUGCCACUAAGAAAGAGAUCCAGGACCUCUCACUGUGA